UGGUGGGUAGUUUGACUGGGGCGGUCUCCUCCUAAAGAGUAACGGAGGAGCACGAAGGUUGGCUAAUCCUGGUCGGACAUCAGGAGGUUAGUGCAAUGGCAUAAGCCAGCUUGACUGCGAGCGUGACGGCGCGAGCAGGUGCGAAAGCAGGUCAUAGUGAUCCGGUGGUUCUGAAUGGAAGGGCCAUCGCUCAACGGAUAAAAGGUACUCCGGGGAUAACAGGCUGAUACCGCCCAAGAGUUCAUAUCGACGGCGGUGUUUGGCACCUCGAUGUCGGCUCAUCACAUCCUGGGGCUGAAGUAGGUCCCAAGGGUAUGGCUGUUCGCCAUUUAAAGUGGUACGCGAGCUGGGUUUAGAACGUCGUGAGACAGUUCGGUCC
rnacentral:rRNA from 11 species